rnacentral:rRNA from 1 species
GAAUUCAACUCCUACGGGAGGCAGCAGUAGGGAAUCUUCCGCAAUGGACGCAAGUCUGGUGGAGCAACGCCGCGUGGGUGAAGAAGGUCUUCGGAUCGUAAAACCCUGUUGUUAGAGAAGAAAGUGCGUGAGAGUAACUGUUCACGUUUCGACGGUAUCUAACCAGAAAGCCACGGCUAACUACGUGCCAGCAGCCGCGGUAAUACGUAGGUGGCAAGCGUUAUCCGGAUUUAUUGGGCGUAAAGGGAACGCAGGCGGUCUUUUAAGUCUGAUGUGAAAGCCUUCGGCUUAACCGGAGUAGUGCAUUGGAAACUGGGAGACUUGAGUGCAGAAGAGGAGAGUGGAACUCCAUGUGUAGCGGCGAAAUGCGUAGAUAUAUGGAAGAACACCAGUGGCGGAAGCGGCUCUCUGGUCUGUAACUGACGCUGAGGUUAGAAAGCGUGGGUAGCAAACAGGAUUAGAUACCCGUGUAGUCCAGGCGUU